rnacentral:rRNA from 1 species
GUAGGUGGCAAGCGUUAUCCGGAAUUAUUGGGCGUAAAGCGCGCGUAGGCGGUUUUUUAAGUCUGAUGUGAAAGCCCACGGCUCAACCGUGGAGGGUCAUUGGAAACUGGAAAACUUGAGUGCAGAAGAGGAAAGUGGAAUUCCAUGUGUAGCGGUGAAAUGCGCAGAGAUAUGGAGGAACACCAGUGGCGAAGGCGACUUUCUGGUCUGUAACUGACGCUGAUGUGCGAAAGCGUGGGGGACCAAACAGGAUUAGAUACCCUGGUAGUCCACGCCGUAAACGAUGAGUGCUAAGUGUUAGGGGGGUUUUCCGCCCCCCUUAGUGCUGCAGCUAACGCAUUAAGCACUCCGCCUGGGAGUACGACCGCAAGGUUG